GGAGAAAUGGCCGAGUGGUCGAAGGUAACGCAUUGCUAACGCGUCGUAUGAUAAAACAUACCGAGGGUUCGAAUCCCUCUUUCUCCG
rnacentral:tRNA from 1 species